UACGAAGGGGGCUAGCGUUACUCGGAAUUACUGGGCGUAAAGGGCGCGUAGGCGGCGUUCCAAGUUAGGCGUGAAAGUCCUGGGCUCAACCUGGGAACUGCGCUUGAUACGGCAGAGCUAGAGGAUGGAAGAGGCUCGCGGAAUUCCCAGUGUAGAGGUGAAAUUCGUAGAUAUUGGGAAGAACACCGGUGGCGAAGGCGGCGAGCUGGUCCAUUACUGACGCUGAGGCGCGACAGCGUGGGGAGCAAACAGG
rnacentral:rRNA from 1 species